AGUGAACGCUGGCGGUAGGCCUAACACAUGCAAGUCGAACGGCAGCACAGUAAGAGCUUGCUCUUACGGGUGGCGAGUGGCGGACGGGUGAGGAAUACAUCGGAAUCUACUUUUUCGUGGGGGAUAACGUAGGGAAACUUACGCUAAUACCGCAUACGACCUACGGGUGAAAGCAGGGGAUCUUCGGACAUUGCGCGUUUGAAUGAGCCGAUGUCGGAUUAGCUAGUUGGCGGGGUAAAGGCCCACCAAGGCGACGAUCCGUAGCUGGUCUGAGAGGAUGAUCAGCCACACUGGAACUGAGACACGGUCCAGACUCCUACGGGAGGCAGCAGUGGGGAAUAUUGGACAAUGGGCGCAAGCCUGAUCCAGCCAUACCGCGUGGGUGAAGAAGGCCUUCGGGUUGUAAAGCCCUUUUGUUGGGAAAGAAAAGCAGCAGGUUAAUACCCCGCUGUUCUGACGGUACCCAAAGAAUAAGCACCGGCUAACUUCGUG
rnacentral:rRNA from 1 species